CAAAAAAAAGCGGUGACGCACCUAAUAACACAUCAGCCACGUUGUACGUCAGCUGCGUCACUGCAGUCAUGUGACUUUAGUCUCGUGCGCGUUCAAAACAGAACCGGAAGAGAAGACAAUGCUGAAUGAUGUCGUAAUUUUGUUAUUUUUGGACCAAAAUGUAUUUUCGAUGCUUCAACACAUUUUAACUGACCCACUGAUGUCAAAUGGCUACUUUGAUGAUGUUUUUUUAUUACCUCUCUGUUCCUGGACAGUAUACUGUGCAUAGAUUUUCAAUGGAGGGUCAGAAAGCUCUCAGACUAAAUCUAAAAUAUCUUAAACUGUGUUUCGAAGAUGAACGGAGGUCUUACCCUCAUGUCGUUCCAAACUCUGACAAAAAGGAAGCAGCCUUCUCUAGCCCACCCAAGUUUCCAUCAAAGGAGCAAGCCUAUGUCAGUAAGAAGAAAGCUGGCUAACCCUCCCACCCCUUGUUUAACUCCUCCAGCCCAUCCCACAUCAUUGUAGAGUGAAGAGACUGCGGUUAAUAUUCAGAAAGAGGCGCAGAGAACUGAAGGCUUUCCUGACUCUAAGCCAUUUAAAACGCAG